AACGAACGCUGGCGGCAUGCCUAACACAUGCAAGUCGAACGCGUGUAGCAAUACACGAGUGGCGGACGGGUGAGUAACGCGUGGGAACCUGCCCAGUGGUAGGGAAUAACUGCGGGAAACUGCAGCUAAUACCCUAUACGCCCUUUGGGGGAAAGAUUCAUCGCCAUUGGAGGGGCCCGCGUCGGAUUAGCUAGUUGGCGGGGUAACGCCCACCAAGGCAACGAUCCGUAGCUGGUCGAGAGGAUGAUCAGCCACACUGGGACUGAGAUACGGUCCAGACUCCUACGGGAGGCAGCAGUGGGGAAUAUUGGACAAUGGGGGAAACCCUGAUCCAGCAAUGCCGCGUGAGUGAAGAAGGCCUU
rnacentral:rRNA from 1 species